UAUGUGGGGGUAACUCGAACCUUUACGAAGCCGGUAGUAUGAAGAACAAGCUAUAUGUGGGAUACUUUUAUAGGUUGUAAACAACUGUAUUGAUGAUAGUGAAUAAAAUGAUUUAAACGCACUUAUGUUCUCUCCAAGGACUUAAUCGAUCUGCUAUACUUUUACUUUCAAAAACAAAAAUAUUUAAAGUGUAGAGAAAAGUUUUGACGUUUCUUAUAUAAGGCCAAGUAUUAUAAUACUUGCUCAGCAAUUGUUUCAUUAAAUGCCUGUUUGAAUGUCGCCAUUGUUCUUUAGGAGUUGUGUUUGACUCGUUUGACUCCCUUACUUGGCUUCUUUGGUUUUAAUGUAAUUUGUAAAGAUUUCUUUGAAUGAAAACGUG